rnacentral:rRNA from 1 species
UACAGAGGUCCCAAGCGUUGUUCGGAUUCAUUGGGCGUAAAGGGUGCGUAGGCUGUGUCAUAAGUCGGAUGUGAAAUCCCGGGGCUUAACCCUGGAACUGCAUUCGAUACUGUGGUACUAGAGGACUCUAGAGGAAAUUGGAAUUCACGGUGUAGCAGUGAAAUGCGUAGAUAUCGUGAGGAAGACCAGUGGCGAAGGCGGAUUUCUGGAGAGUUCCUGACGCUGAGGCACGAAGGCCAGGGGAGCAAACGGG